rnacentral:sRNA from 1 species
GCCAGGCGUGGUGGCUCAUGCCUGUAAUCCCAGCACUUUUGGAGGCUGAGGCAGGUGGAUCACUUGAGGCCAGGAGUUCAAGACCAGCCUGGCCAACAUGGAGAUACCUUGUCUCUA